rnacentral:rRNA from 1 species
CUACGGGUGGCUCCAGUGAGGAAUAUUGCACAAUGGGGGGAACCCUGAUGCAGCAACGCCGCGUGGAGGAUGACGCAUUUCGGUGUGUAAACUCCUUUUAUAUGUCAAGAAAAUGACGGUAGCAUAUGAAUAAGCACCGGCUAACUCCGUGCCAGCAGCCGCGGUAAGUACGGAGGGUGCAAGCGUUACUCGGAAUCACUGGGCGUAAAGGACGCGUAGGCGGGUUGGAAAGUCAGGUGUGAAAUCCUACAGCUUAACUGUAGAACUGCACUUGAAACUUCUAAUCUAGAGUAUGGGAGGGGGAGAUGGAAUUAGUGGUGUAGGGGUAAAAUCCGUAGAUAUCACUAGGAAUACCUAAAGCGAAGGCGAUCUCCUGGAACAUUACUGACGCUAAGGCGUGAAAGCGUGGGGAGCAAACAGGAUUAGAUACCCGCGUAGUC